AACGUAGGAGACAAACGUUAUCCGGAGUUACUGGGCGUAAAGGGCGUGCAGGCGGUUAUUUAAGUUCGGCGUGAAAGCUCCUGGCUAAACCGGGAGAGGUCGUCGGAGACUGGAUGGCUAGAGGGUGAUAGAGGCGGGGUGGAAUUCCGGGUGUAGUGGUGAAAUGCGUAGAGAUCCGGAGGAACACCAGUGGCGAAGGCGACCCGCUGGGUCACACCUGACGCUGAGACGCGACAGCAUGGGGAGCAAACGGG
rnacentral:rRNA from 1 species